GGAGAGGAGUGGACGGAGGCAGGCCUGGCCCCGGAGCUCCAUCGGAGCGUCCUGCUGGUUUCCAAGGCGGAGAGCACCGGCAUGCAUAUUGAUGUUUGACUCCAGGAAGAGAGUUCACUGGCCCAGAUGCAGAGGAGGUGUGGCCACCUCCUUGGCCCUGACCACUCAUUCCAAGAGCCUCAGGAGGUGAUCUGCUUUGGGGAGCUUCUGCCCUGGCUCUCUGUCCCCCUCCCCACCUGCUCGUGGUUAUUGCUGCUUCAGGCAGAGUCUAGCCAACUUGGCAGCUUCCCAAAAAGAAACAUAGGUCUGCAGGAGCCUGGAUGGGGAUUUAGCGGACCCCAAGGUCCUGCUUCCGGCGUGAAAACUGGGGGCCCACAGCCCAGCUCAUGGAAUGGCUGCUUCCAGCGGAACUGUGGAGAGCCGGCCAGAUCUCUGCCUGCAGAAGAUAAAGAGGGUCCCGCUGAUGACGACGGCAGCCGACAGGAGAGUGCGCAGGACCAGGGCCCUGCUGAGGAUGGU